rnacentral:rRNA from 1 species
UACGUAGGGGGCAAGCGUUGUCCGGAAUCAUUGGGCGUAAAGAGCGUGUAGGCGGCCAGAUAAGUCCGCUGUGAAAUCUCGAGGCUCAACUUCGAGCUGUCGGUGGAAACUGUCUGGCUAGAGUCCGGAAGAGGAGAAUGGAAUUCCUGGUGUAGCGGUGAAAUGCGCAGAUAUCAGGAGGAACACCGAUGGCGAAGGCAGGUCACUGGGCCGCAACUGACGCUGAGGAGCGAAAGCAUGGGGAGCGAACAGG